rnacentral:rRNA from 1 species
UACGUAGGGUGCAAGCGUUGUCCGGAAUUAUUGGGCGUAAAGAGCUCGUAGGCGGUUCGUCGCGUCGGCUGUGAAAUCCCGAGGCUCAACCUCGGGUCUGCAGUCGAUACGGGCGGACUGGAAGUUCGGCAGGGGAGACUGGAAUUCCUGGUGGUAGCGGUAGAAAUGCGCAGAUAAUCAGGAGGAACACCGGUGGCGAAGGCGGGUCUCUGGGCCGAUACUGACGCUGAGGAGCGAAAGCGUGGGGAGCGAACAGG